UCCAGUGAUGCAUUUAAAUCUGAGUGAGAACGGUUCGUUAUUUUUCAGACCAACAUGUAAUUUCAAACAAGCCGUGCUGUGGAGAAGACAAUACCUGUUUGCUCAGCUGUGCAGCUUCACGUCAACAUCUGGAGACGAUCCUUUGGCACUGAAAAGCCAAAGGGAAAAAGAAAUACUAGACUGUUAUCUUUUAUUUGGCUGGAGAACGUAUAUUCCAGUGUCCAGGGAGGUAAAGAAGGGAGAUUGUGCCAUAUGUAUUUAACGUACACUGAGUGAAAACCAGAGGAGCUUUCCAGGUGUUGUAGUGUUUGGAGAGGUUUGGUAUUUGGAGGUCGUAUUUCAACAAAGCCAGGCCGCGUGACAGCGGGCGAAAAAAGAGAAACGUGCUCGGCCUCCAGAGAGCAUCGGCAGGUUGGUUUAGGCACAGAGAGGAGAAAUUCCUCAGCAGCUCUGUAAUCCUGCUGAGAUUAUUCAGGACGGCUUGGGGGUCAUCCGACGGCCCAGGGGAGACGGAGAGCAGACACACACUUCCUCACAUCGGAGUCCUUACACAACAAGCAGACACACACUUCUUCCAGCGAAGCCAGAGACAAAACAUAUUUACAAUAAAAGCAACGUCUAUGCGCCGUCUCACAAGAUUCAUUACCCCAAAUGGCGAGGUGACUCAGACUUGGACAGCAGAUCAAGACAUGACCUUUCUCUUUCUCCAGACAUUAUCUAAGACUCUGUUUCUUCAUGUAUCGAUGCUUUUUCUUUUUGUUUAACUUUGUAUUAUUGCAGCAAAUGUCUCUGAGCAGAAAAUAUGACUUUUCAAAAUGAAACAGGGUCUAUAAAAGAAUGCGUUGACCUCGUAAUAUUAGGUAAUUAUUUGUACUGAGUUCUGGACCUAAUUGAAAGCAUGAAAAAAGGACUGUGAAAAAGUUCUGAGACAAUUUUAAUCUGAUAAUCUUUUAAAGAGUCUUAAUCAUUUUUCAGGCUUAUUCCAAAUAUUUUGAGGCUUAUUCACAUGUAGCUCUGAAAAUUAAGUACAGAAAUGCCUUUUCCACUCCCAAAAAGGCGUGGUCACAGAUGUCGGGGGCGUGGUCAUAGAGGUUAGGGGAGGGGCCACUUGCUACCCUUCAAAUACGAUUGGCCAGCCCCAACAGUUUGUUAAUAUCAUAUUGUACAUAGAUUAGAGUUUUGUCCACACUUAAUGUGAAUCCUAAUCCUUUUGCUGUUUUCAGCCACCAUUAAUAUUUUCUUUUUGUUGACUGUUUCAAGUUUUAAAAAUGGGACAUUACAUAUUAACAUUUACAUGUACAUAAAUGAGAUUAUGGCCAAAGUGGAUUAUGUUUAUCUCUAGUCCCGUCGGCAGGUUGAUAAAUAUGAUGUUUAAAAAGAAAAAGCAAAAAAAGCAGAAUUAGGCUACUGCACAAAAAACCUCCCAGUUGUUUGCAAUUUGUCGUUUAUAAUUGUUAAGUUGCAUAGAGUUAGCAUAACUGUGCUAAACAGAAAGUAGAGCUGUAUACAGUUAAGCUAUGCUAAGCUAAAUAGGCCAAUCGCGUGACUGGUAAAAUUAGCUUGUAACAAACAAAUCUACUUUAUAGUUUUCAUAUGCUUUUUGUUUUGGUAAAUAAAUAGUUCUGUUAUUCAACUUUUGGCCAACUGUUCAUUUUAAUAUAAACUUCAGUGCAUUUAGAUGAAAUUGGCUAUUUUAGAGUGCCACAUACAGUUUAUAUCCCUGCCUGGCAUUAAAAAAAAAUCUGGACACACCCCUUAUUAUACCUACUAAAAAUUGUUCAUUGUGAAAUCAUGCUACAGCAGUAAACUAUUUAUUGAUUUAGGAUUGAUUUUUCAGUAAGUUUAGAGUAUCCUAUACGUUUUCUUACUAAGUUUAUAGCUACAUUUUUAAUUAUGAAUGUUGACAAGUGACCUCAUCAUGCUAACUGCAACUUUGAUUCACAUUUAGCUACAACACAAUUAUUCAGUUGAUGAUAAUCAAAUGGACCUGACAGUUAACAGGUCCAGCCGUCGCUGCAUCUCUUGGUGCCACAAAGAGGUUCCUUAAAGGGGCGGGACGUUUUUUAAACAGACCAACUGUGGUUGUACUUCACUGGAGGCGGCGCGCUCCGGUAGCACCAGCAGGUCGAAUAAAGAGGGUGGUGAAAUUCUCAGACAAGAUUUAAACAAACGGCGAGACCGAUGGUGGCUCAGCUGUUCUCGGACCACACACCACCGAUGAAGAAGUGUUUCAGCAGUUUGAGCAAAAGCACUCCUCCUUCAGAGGACAUAUUAAGAACUUCUCAUACACGGGUGUGAUGUAAUGCUGGUGCCAUCUGUUUAUUUGAUUUGCAAACAUGAGACAUUCAAUAAUCAAUGAUGUAUUUUUAAAAUAAGUGAGAUGUCUGAUCUGUGUAGCAAAAGUGCAGGAAAUCUCAUUUUAUUGCAAUUCAGUCUCUGCUCUUCAAAUUCCUGUAGCAGAAAGAAAAACAUUCUCAUGUAAGAAAAUAGCUAUAUAGAUGACAUCUUUUUUUUAUA